rnacentral:misc_RNA from 1 species
GAUGAAGAACGUAGUGAAAUGCGAUAAGUAGUGUGAAUUGCAGAAUUCAGUGAAUCAUCGAAUCUUUGAACGCACAUUGCGCCCCCUGGUAUUCCGGGGGGCAUGCCUGUCCGAGCGUCAUUGCUGCCCUCAAGCACGGCUUGUGUGUUGGGCCCCCGUCCCCGGUUUCCCCCGGGGACGGGCCCGAAAGGCAGCGGCGGCACCGCGUCCGGUCCUCGAGCGUAUGGGGCUUUGUCACCCGCUCUGUAGGCCCGGCCGGCGCCAGCCGACACCCAACUUUAUUUCUAAGGUUGACCUCGGAUCAGGUAGGGAUACCCGCUGAACUUAAGCAUAUCAAUAAGCGGAGGA